UCCUUAUAUCAUCACCUAUUGCUGCUGGACAGGCUAGUAGCUCCCAGAGAACUCAAGGAAGGACUUCGCUGAUUGAUUCGGAAUCGUUUAAACAUUACUACCCCUUGUUAUUGUGUGGCACCUGGCAAAAAUCUAGGGAUUUCUGGUAAACGAUGUGAUGGAGAUGAACGCCUGUGAUAAAUCAAUCAGGGCAUCAAGACAUGUGUUUAUAAAUUAUUUACGUAUAGGUCUAUUUAUGUGCAUUUGAUAAUUAAUGACAUUAAAUAUUUUUUUCGAA